rnacentral:rRNA from 1 species
GACAGAGGGUGCAAACGUUGUUCGGAAUUACUGGGCGUAAAGCGCGUGUAGGCGGCAUGGCAAGUCGGGUGUGAAAGCCCUGGGCUCAACCUAGGAAGUGCACUCGAAACUGCCACGCUGGAGUCUUGGAGAGGAAGGCGGAAUUCUCGGUGUAGAGGUGAAAUUCGUAGAUAUCGGGAGGAACACCGGUGGCGAAGGCGGCCUUCUGGACAAUGACUGACGCUGAGACGCGAAAGCGUGGGGAGCAAACAGG